UACGAAGGGGGCUAGCGUUGCUCGGAAUCACUGGGCGUAAAGGGAGUGUAGGCGGUCUUUUAAGUCUUCUGUGAAAUCUACGGGCUUAGCCUGUAACGUGCAGAGGAAACUGGAAGGCUUGAGUGUCGGAGAGGAUAGGGGAAUUCCCGGUGUAGAGGUGAAAUUCGUAGAGAUCGGGAGGAACACCAGUGGCGAAGGCGCCUAUCUGGCUGACAACUGACGCUGAGACUCGAAAGCAUGGGGAGCAAACAGG
rnacentral:rRNA from 1 species